GUGCUGCCACUGCGGAUGCACUGACUGGGUAUUGUACAUUUUUUCCAACAUUGUGCAAAGUCAUAUCGACAAGAAUAAUACGAUGGAAGCAAAUGCUUGGAAACUUCCUGUGAUGCUAGAGAAGAUGGAUCUCAGUGUUAUGGAGCUCUGGGAGGAACUGUCUAUCUCCAGCUGACUGAUACCAUGGCAUAUAAUCACUACUCAUUUUAUAAAGGCUCAACUGGUGCUAAAACAGAGAUACUGAAAACAAAGGUCACACUGCUCCAGUGUCCAGUCCUCAGCUGUCCUCUGAGUGUCUGUCUCAUGGAGAGAUGAGGGUGUCCUGCUCCUCUGAGGGGGAUGGUUCCCAGUACAGCUGGACUCUGGAUCGACAGACGCUGAGACACACUAAGGCCUCUUCUGAUAACGAGACAAACACCAUCACUCUGAAGAAAGGCCUGUCAGGAAAUCUCACCUGUACCGUCAGAAACUACAUCAGCAGUGAUUCUAUCAGCAAGAGAAUCUCACCUUGUCCAGGAGUCAGUGUGUUUGUUUAUUUCCAACUCGCUGAAGUCUUCAUUCUUCUGACAGUCUGUCUGGGAUCAUACUGUUUCUACAAGAAGGAAACCUAUCAUCGUAAAGAAGCCACAGACAUGGUGACCACCUGUAAUGCUACUCAGAACUUAUCCCAGUGUUCUGUUGUUCUGGAUGGAACUCUGGAUGUCUAGCUAAUGACCAACGCUAGUGGACGGGAACUGCUGUUUAAAAAGAACCUCUGAACCACAGGUGGCCAGUGUGAAAAAUUCUAUGACGUACACUUUUAGAUUUCUCCAAAUGUUCAGAUUUUCACACUCAACUUCACACUUUUUAACAUAAAAACAAAAAACAAAUUAUGUUCUAAGCCCAUAACAAUUCUUAAACCACAUCAGGAGAUAACUUUUGACGUCUGCACACUUACCCCAAAAGUGUGCAGACACCUAGCAAUGUUGUUUAGUUUGCAGUGUUUCUGUAGCACAUGAGAUGGAGUUUGCAAAGGAAAUGGCUACUGGUUUGAUGCAAAUAAUCAUGAUAUCAUUCUGACAGGUAGGCAUAAGCUACUUUGGAGCUACUGUAGUCAACAUUUAAUAGAGAGUUAACAUUUAAUACAGGUUUUUGGGAAAGCCUUUCCAUCUACCAGAAGACGGUUAUGCCUAUCAUUACCAUUGCUAUAUUUUUCCUUUUCCUUAAUUGUUUGAAACCUGGACAUUUUACUUCAUAUUAUGAGGAUGACUUACCUUGAAAGUAGCCCAUCACCAAAAUCCCACCAUAGAAACGUGGAGGAUAAUGCCUUCGACAUUAUCCUCACAUCUCCAUCUGAACCGAAAAUGAUUUGCAUUGAUACCCCCCCCCCCUUUGUUUUUACACUGCUGCUACUCGCUGUUUACUAUCGAUGCAUAGUCACUUUACCCUUACCUAUAUGUACAAAUGACCUCGAUUAACCUGUACUCCUGCACAUUCACUCGGUACCGGUACCCCAAGUAUAUAGCCUCAUUAUUGUCAUUUUAUUGUGUUCAUUUUUUAAAUGAAUUGUUUAACUUUAUUUAUUUAGUAAAUAUUUUGUUAACAUUUUGUUAAAACUGCAUUCUUGGUUUAGGGCUUGUAAGUAAGCAUUUCACAGUAAAGUCUACACCUGUUGUAUUCGGCGCAUGUGAAAAACAUUACCAGAUUGAAACAAACCUUCCACAGUUUACUAGACUGUAGAAAGCAGUGACAGAAUGUGAAACUAAUAAUGAGUCUGUGGAAGGUCUAUACCAUAAGAGGGAUUUCUGUGUCAAAUGGUUGAGAAUGUGGACUUCAUUAC
ensembl:lncRNA